rnacentral:rRNA from 1 species
AUUGAACGCUGGCGGCAUGCCUUACACAUGCAAGUCGAACGGCAGCACGGGUGCUUGCACCUGGUGGCGAGUGGCGAACGGGUGAGUAAUACAUCGGAACGUACCUUAUCGUGGGGGAUAACGCAGCGAAAGCUGUGCUAAUACCGCAUACGCCCCGAGGGGGAAAGCGGGGGAUCGCAAGACCUCGCGCGAUUAGAGCGGCCGAUGCCUGAUUAGCCUGGUGGUGGGGUAAAAGCCCACCAAGGCGACGAUCAGUAGCUGGUCUGAGAGGACGAUCAGGCACAAGUGGAAUGGGACACGGCCCAGAAUCCUGCGUGAGGCAGGAGUGGGGAAUUUUGGACAAUGGGGGCAACCCUGAUCCAGGAAUGCCGCGUGAGUGAAGAAGGCCUUCGGGUUGUAAAGCUCUUUUGUCAGGGAAGAAACACCGGCUCUAACACAGUCCGGGAAUGACGGUACCUGAAGAAUAAGCACCGGCUAACUACGUGCCAGCCGCCGCCGUAA